rnacentral:snRNA from 1 species
UGGAAUACUUGAACUACC